UACGAAGGGGGCUAGCGUUGCUCGGAAUUACUGGGCGUAAAGCGCACGUAGGCGGCUUGUAUGAUCGGAGGUGAAAUCCUGGAGCUCAACUCCAGAACUGCCUUCGAUACUGGCGAGCUUGAGUUCGGGAGAGGUGAGUGGAACUGCGAGUGUAGAGGUGAAAUUCGUAGAUAUUCGCAAGAACACCAGUGGCGAAGGCGGCUCACUGGCCCGAUACUGACGCUGAGGUGCGAAAAGCGUGGGGGAGCAAACAGG
rnacentral:rRNA from 1 species